AGGAGAGUUUGAUCCUGGCUCAGAACGAACGCUGGCGGCGCGUCUUAAGCAUGCAAGUCGAGCGGGAGUAUCCAGCUUGCUGGAUAUGAGAGCGGCGGACUGGUGAGUAACGCGUGGGUGACGCACCCUUGGGUCGGGGAUAGCCUUAAGAAAUUAAGGGUAAUACCGGAUGAGGUCCCUUACGUUGGAGGUAAGGGAGGAAAGGAGCCACGGCUCCGCCCGAGGAACGGCCCGCGACCCAUCAGCUUGUUGGCGGGGCAAGGGCCCACCAAGGCUAUGACGGGUAUCCGGCCUCAGAGGGCGACCGGACACAUUGGGACUGAGAUACGGCCCAGACUCCUACGGGAGGCAGCAGCUAAGAAUAUUCCGCAAUGGGCGAAAGCCUGACGGAGCGACGCCGCGUGGACGAUGAAGGCCGGAAGGUUGUAAAGUCCUUUUCUGACGGAGGAAGAAGUGCCGGAGGGAAUGCCGGCAUGGUGACUGUAGGUCAGGAAUAAGCACCGGCUAAUUACGUGCCAGCAGCCGCGGUAACACGUAAGGUGCGAGCGUUGUUCGGAAUCAUUGGGCGUAAAGGGCAUGUAGGCGGUCACGCAAGUCUGGAGUGAAAUGCCAGGGCUCAACCCUGGAACUGCUUUGGAAACUGCGGGACUGGAGUCACCGAGGCGGAGCCGGAAUUCCAGGUGUAGGGGUGAAAUCUGUAGAUAUCUGGAAGAACACCAAUGGCGAAGGCAGGCUUCGAGCGGAUGACUGACGCUGAGGUGCGAAGGUGCGGGGAGCAAACAGGAUUAGAUACCCUGGUAGUCCCCU
rnacentral:rRNA from 1 species